CGCGUAGGGAACCUACCUAGUAGUUUGGGAUAGCCCAGAGAAAUUUGGAUUAAUACCGGAUACGCCCCACGGGGGAAAGCAGAGGAUCUUCGGACUUUGCGCUAUUAGAUGGGCCUGACGUGAGAUUAGCUGGUUGUGGGGUAAUGGCCCACCAAGGCGACGAUCUCUAGCUGGUCUGAGAGGAUGAUUCAGCCACACUGGAAACUGAGACACGGUCCAGACUCCUACGGGAGACAGCAGUUCGGGAAUAGUUGCACAAUGGGCGCAAGCCUGAUGCAGCCAUGCCGCGUGUGUGAAGAA
rnacentral:rRNA from 1 species